rnacentral:rRNA from 1 species
AGGGUUUGAUCAUGGCUCAGGAUGAACGCUAGCGAUAGGCUUAACACAUGCAAGUCGAGGGGUAACAUGAGAAGAGCUUGCUCUUUUUGAUGACGACCGGCGCACGGGUGCGUAACACGUAUGCAACCUGCCCUUUAUUAGCGGAUACCCCGAUGAAAGUCGGACUAAUACGUUAUGCAUUGCGAAGUUUGCAUGAACUUUGCAAUAAAGAUUUAUCGAUAAAGGAUGGGCAUGCGGUCCAUUAGAUAGUUGGUAGGGUAAAAGCCUACCAAGUCAAUGAUGGAUAGGGGGACUGAGAGGUUGACCCCCCACACCGGUACUGAGAUACGGACCGG